GGUGGGUCCGAGCGCAGUGGCGUUCACAACUAAUUGAUCACAAUCAGUUACAGAUUCCUUUGUUCCUUCUCCACUCCCACUGCUCCACUUGACCAGCCUUUA
rnacentral:Y_RNA from 1 species